rnacentral:lncRNA from 1 species
AACUACCCAGCACAGCCCCCUCCGCCCCCUCUGGAGGCUGAAGAGGGAUUCCAGCCCCUGCCACCCACAGACACGGGCUGACUGGGGUGUCUGCCCCCCUUGGGGGGGGGCAGCACAGGGCCUCAGGCCUGGGUGCCACCUGGCACCUAGAAGAUGCCUGUGCCCUGGUUCUUGCUGUCCUUGGCACUGGGCCGAAGCCCAGUGGUCCUUUCUCUGGAGAGGCUUGUGGGGCCUCAGGACGCUACCCACUGCUCUCCGGGCCUCUCCUGCCGCCUCUGGGACAGUGACAUACUCUGCCUGCCUGGGGACAUCGUGCCUGCUCCGGGCCCCGUGCUGGCGCCUACGCACCUGCAGACAGAGCUGGUGCUGAGGUGCCAGAAGGAGACCGACUGUGACCUCUGUCUGCGUGUGGCUGUCCACUUGGCCGUGCAUGGGCACUGGGAAGAGCCUGAAGAUGAGGAAAAGUUUGGAGGAGCAGCUGACUCAGGGGUGGAGGAGCCUAGGAAUGCCUCUCUCCAGGCCCAAGUCGUGCUCUCCUUCCAGGCCUACCCUACUGCCCGCUGCGUCCUGCUGGAGGUGCAAGUGCCUGCUGCCCUUGUGCAGUUUGGUCAGUCUGUGGUAUGC